CUUGCGCCAUAUGUACUGAAAUUGUUCGGGAGACAUGGUCAAAGCCCGGGUUGAAGCCCCUAAAGGGGAUUUCUUUCAGCCAACAUCCAGCCUUAGUGGCCCCUCUCUGAUAAGGUUUGAAAGUUUUCAAAACGAAAAAAAAAUGACAAAUCUGGUCCGAUGGCUCUUCUCCACUAACCACAAGGAUAUCGGUACUCUAUAUUUCAUCUUCGGUGCCAUUGCAGGAGUGAUGGGCACAUGCUUCUCCGUACUGAUUCGUAUGGAAUUAGCCCGACCCGGCGAUCAAAUUCUUGGUGGGAAUCAUCAACUUUAUAAUGUUUUAAUAACGGCUCACGCUUUUUUAAUGAUCUUUUUUAUGGUUAUGCCGGCGAUGAUAGGUGGAUUUGGGAAUUGGUUUGUUCCGAUUCUGAUAGGUGCACCUGACAUGGCAUUUCCACGAUUAAAUAAUAUAUCAUUCUGGUUGUUGCCACCAAGUCUCUUGCUCCUAUUAAGCUCAGCCUUAGUAGAAGUGGGCAGCGGCACUGGGUGGACGGUCUAUCCGCCCUUAAGUGGUAUUACCAGCCAUUCUGGAGGAGCAGUUGAUUUAGCAAUUUUUAGUCUUCAUCUAUCAGGUGUUUCAUCAAUUUUAGGUUCUAUCAAUUUUAUAACUACUAUCUUCAACAUGCGUGGACCUGGAAUGACUAUGCAUAGAUUACCACUUUUUGUGUGGUCCGUUCUAGUGACAGCAUUCCUACUUUUAUUAUCACUUCCGGUACUGGCAGGGGCAAUUACAAUGUUAUUAACCGAUCGAAACUUUAAUACAACCUUUUUUGAUCCAGCAGGAGGGGGAGACCCAAUAUUAUACCAGCAUCUCUUUUGGUUCUUCGGUCAUCCAGAGGUGUAUAUUCUCAUUCUGCCUGGAUUCGGUAUUAUUAGUCAUAUCGUAUCGACCUUUUCAAGAAAACCGGUCUUCGGGUAUCUAGGCAUGGUUUAUGCCAUGAUAAGUAUAGGUGUUCUUGGAUUUCUAGUUUGGGCUCAUCAUAUGUUUACUGUGGGCUUAGACGUUGAUACGCGUGCCUACUUCACCGCAGCUACCAUGAUCAUAGCUGUGCCCACUGGAAUCAAAAUCUUUAGUUGGAUCGCUACCAUGUGGGGAGGUUCGAUACAAUACAAAACACCCAUGUUAUUUGCUGUAGGGUUCAUCUUUUUGUUCACCAUAGGAGGGCUCACUGGAAUAGUUCUAGCAAACUCUGGGCUAGACAUUGCUCUACAUGAUACUUAUUAUGUGGUUGCACAUUUCCAUUAUGUACUUUCUAUGGGAGCCGUUUUUGCUUUAUUUGCUGGAUUUUACUAUUGGGUGGGUAAAAUCUUUGGUCGGACAUAUCCUGAAACUUUAGGCCAAAUCCAUUUUUGGAUCACUUUUUUCGGGGUUAAUCUGACCUUCUUUCCCAUGCAUUUCUUAGGGCUUUCGGGUAUGCCACGUCGCAUUCCAGAUUAUCCAGAUGCUUACGCCGGAUGGAAUGCUCUGAGCAGUUUCGGUUCUUAUAUAUCCGUAGUUGGGAUUCGUCGUUUCUUCGUAGUUGUCGCAAUCACUUCAAGCAGUGGAAAGAACAAAAGAUGUGCGGAAAGUCCUUGGGCUGUUGAACAGAAUCCAACCACACUAGAAUGGUUGGUACAAAGCCCUCCAGCCUUUCAUACUUUUGGAGAACUUCCAACUAUCAAAGAAACGGAAAACAAAGGAAUAAAAUAAAAUAAAAUGAACACCCCACGGUGUUACGAAAAAUUUGUCUACUUUUUCUUAUUCUUCUUCUUCCAGGUGCGGGAAAUCAUCCGAAACGAAUGCCUUCGUUCGAUGAUCCAUGAGGGAUGGAAAUUUCGAAUUUCAUUAUUCAAAAGUGAGUAGAGGGUCCACAUUAAACAAAUCGGACUCACCAGAAUACUAGACUUCUGUGCUGGAGUGAAGAAGCCACUUCAGUACAGUUUCAGGGCAGUAAGGAACUCAGCACCGAAAGGAACUGGUCUAACAAAAGGGGCCGAGAACUACAUAUGGUCUGAGACUAACUUCCUUGAAAAGAGGAAGACAAGUUAUGUAGGCAGUAGCCGUUCAAGAAAUGCAGCGGUUGCUCGACCAAAGCCGGUCAAUAAGACAGAUCCGAAUGCCACAAUACCGGCUGUUCAAUUUGAGAAAGGCCCAUCUCCUGAUUGUGGACACUCAAAUCGAAUACUUUAGCAAUUGGUCUGACAGAACGGAUGGUAAGGUGGGGGACCCAUACCUUUAUUCUAUUCCCGUGCUUAGAGCGAGUGAAUGAAAAGCUACGCCUGCUGCUUGUGUUGAUUGAAAAGAAACCUGUCGGGAGACAGAUCGAUGUAGGCGCUCGUCCACUGUUGGCGGUGCUACACCAUAGAUUUGUACCUAGGAGCAAGAACCGUGGCUUCAGGAUCAGCUAAGGGUUAAUGGGGUUUCUGAUACCUUCUAUUAUUCGUUGAAGCAGGUUCUUUGACUCGGUAGGCACAGCUAGAAGUCACACGAGGUACGCCGGAUGAAAGUUUCCUUCUUUCCAUGAUGGAUCCGCUACUAAGAAAGUAAGAGAAAGAACUGGUCCAUAAAACCCCCUUUUUACCAGCACCGUAACAGACUGGAAUCGCAGGAACAACUGGUUCCAUGGAAGUAGAAAUGGCCCUCCUCCUAGAAUGCCAAGAGGAGCAAUGAAAGUAGUAUAUACUAAUUGUCAAUGGCCUGAUACGGUCACCCUAUGGCCACUUUAACAGGGACUGCCACUAGACAUAGGUAUUACUCCGGGGUUGUAAAGAGCAUUGGUCCAGUGCAAUAUACUAUAGCAUAUCCCCAGACUGGAGAGUACACCAUAUCAUCUAAAAAAAUAAGAUUUCGAGGAUCUACGCUAUGGGUACUAAUACUAUAGAUAAUCGGAAUCCUACACUCCCAUGAGGAAUGAAUGCGACACCCUAUAGAAAGAGUCCAGAUAGAACGAUUCUUUCUUACCUAAAGUCCCACUUGCUGACCUGCUUCCCUAAGGGAAUAGAGUGACGUGCACUGGCACUAGAUGAGCUUAAGAUUUUCAAUAUACUUGCUUAAGACUUUCUUAUACAAUUGGCACUCCAAGGGAAGAUCAAGGGAUAAGCACUCACUAUAAUCGGGGUGAGAUCUCGUAAGAGUUGGCACCCUCGCCGCUGGCUUACUAAAUGUAAGAGAACUUGCGGUGAAAAGGGUACUCCCAAUUGCUGUAACAGAACUCGCAGGUAGAAGAACGAACUUCCAAUGCAUCGAAGCUUUCUACUCCUGCUUGAAUACUUGCUCUUGCUCAAUGGCCGAAAGAGAACUUUAUUUAGUAAAGCACUUUUAAAAGCUUUCAAAAAUUGGCUAACUGGAUUGAUUUUCCCUUGUUGGGACUGGAGAGACUUGUGCAAUUGGAGGGGCACUUUCACCCACAGGCUCGUAAGGGGAAGGGACAAAUACCUUUACUUGGUCUAACAGUCCAAGAGCUCUCACGGUAAUUGGAUAGCUGGAAAGCUGGCUUGAACCAAGCCAAAAGGCGGUGUGUCAUCACCUUGAACCAAUGAAUUCUCAGAUUACUGGCAGUAAUUCGUUCAUUUCAAUGAAAGAGCAGGUAGCUAUAAGUUUCCCCACUCUAAUAGUAUUUUUGAGAUUCAAGCUUAUUUCCUUGAGGAUCGCAACCCGAAUCUUAGGAUAGUCUACUUUCUGAUAGUAUAGGAAUAGCAGUCACAGAGGGAGGAUCACAAAUAAGUGUAUUCUUACUAGAUGAGACAUCUUCUCUAUUCUUACUAGAAGAGACAUCUUCUGAAGAUUUCUUAAAAAAAUUCAAAAGAAUUUAUCGUUGGUCCUGUCUUCUUUCCAAAAAAAGUGAGGGGGCCCACCACACCACUUCCCUCGACCCCUUACCACGGGAGUCACUAAAGAUGAGACUGACCAUGAUAAGGGUAUGGGGCAUUGAUUGGCUUGGAGGAUUAAGGGGAAUAGAUUCGGGUAGUGGAGCCAACAUAUUAGGUCGGCCACUGAGAUUUUGCCCCUUUUUCUCCACCAGCGCAGGAGGGAUUGCAGCGGGAUUCAGAUGCCGCUCUUGACUGAGCCCGGGUUUAGGGGCUACCUGGGUUUGUGCCCAACCUGGGGGCGCCAAGCGCAAUUCGAGAUCGGGAUAGAGGGUUCUAGGGUAAAAGCAAUCCAUCCUUAUAGCAAGUCCUAGAGUUAAGUAAAAAAGACUUCUCGGGAGUUUGGGAGUGUGACUAUAACCAGUACUCUUGUAUAAUAUCCUCUCUCUAGUUAAAAUGAGUAUUACCUGCCUGCACAAUCAAUCUAUGGCGAUCUCGGUCUCACGCGCCAGUCCCUCUUGCUAAGCCUAAGUGUUAAGCAUAGCAUAUCUUAUAUUAACCCAUCUUAAAAGGACUUCCAGACAUUGAUUUUAGGAGAGUCAUUUUGUAGGGCCAUUCUUUUUCUCCUCGCGAGCCAGUACCCUUAUUAGGAAAGUAGGGACUUAUUUGAAGUUCAUAGAUAUAGUCUAUCAGGCUGGUCUCCGGGGUCGUUUCCCUAGCAGAGCUGGUUGGUUUCUGCAGAGAAACUAACAAGAUGCUGCAAUGGCAGAGGCCCACUGAACAUGUUUUCUGCAAGAGAUAUGGAUCGCCCUGUUGUCCCCAAUAAUUAACUCUCGCUGACCGCUCCCAUCCAGAUGUUCAUGACAGUUCUCGAUUGCGAAAGAAGCUGCUUCUAAGGAAUGAUGAAUCACCUAAGACUCCGACAACCGAAUCGCACAGAGUGCGAAAACCCGACUCACUUCAAACACCCGAUCACGGCAAAUUGGGUAAUAAAAACAGUCAAGAGGGCUGUCAACUUAAAUGAUUUUGAACCCCUCUCGGUCGAUCUUGACAUGGAUAGUCCACUGGGUCAUUGGCUAGAGAAGUACCGCCAAGCAAAGGGAGAGCAAUCCACGCGGCAUAAGAGUGAAGGUACGUUUGUUGGUAACACAACACAACGAAAGCAAUGAAUUAAAUGGGAUCAAUGCCUAGCAUAGUGGUCUAUUAAAAAUUCAAUUGACUUUGCUAUUUGUCUUUUUUGAACUAUGUUUCAUUCAUAUGAUAGAAUAUGGGUUUAAAUAAAUUGGAUCCUUGCUGAGUCUUCCCCGGAUAAAUACUUAUUUAUCCACAGAUAGCAAGUUUUAAUUAGUAUACAAAAUACUAAACAAAACCAAUGACUAUUCAUGAUUCCAUCCAUAUUGGAUCAAUUCCCUAUACCACUUUGAAAUGAAAUUAGAGGAAUGCUAUGGUAAAACUUCGUUUAAAACGAUGUGGUAGAAAGCAACGUGCGACUUGAAGGACAUGAUCGAUUGUGGAUUUUGCUAUCCAUCAUUUUCCAUAGUAAUGAAGAUGCUCUUGGCUCAACAUAGUUUGUUCUAUUCUUCCAAAACCGAAUUUGUGCUGGGUUCUUUGUAAGUAAAUAGUACAUGAUGGAGCUCGAGAGGACAGAAUUUCUUUUUAUCAAGGGAAAGAAUCAUGGAUCCUGAUGCUAAAUUAUGGGUUGAUACAAAAGGAUUCAAACAAGUGUGGCUAAUUGUUUUUUAUUCAAACAACAAAAGUAUAGCUGAUCUUUUCUCCUGCAAUGUAACUCUCAAAUAUGCAUGCUAGAAAGCUGAUAUGUUGCUGAGAGAGAGGUUAGUCAGAUUGAUUUCUUUUUCUUCCUUUUGCAAUUGAGCUAUUAAGGUGGGGAUGUGUAGGCGGUUCCUCCAUCGCUCGAAGGGCACUCGUAUGUCCAACGUUCCAUCCUCUUUCAAAUAGAAUAGCAAUCCCAGAACCUACAAAAGAUGAAGCACAUUUGUAGUUCUAAUUGAUCCAAUGCACAGUACUGGGGAAGAAAAGAAUGAGCUCAGAAAGAAAAGGUAAGUCCUUGACCGUAAUUCUUCCCAUAUAGAGAGAUAAAGAAGAUGCCUCUGUACAUAUUCUGGUACGUUAUUUGAAUCCUUUCGAUGCAGGAACCAUAGCUCAGACUGAUGAUCCCUCUCUCUCCUUAGGUCACCCAAGGUAGAAAAAAUGCCCCAAACAAAGCCGAGAGUUCGAUCCAAGUACUAACCCUCUAGUUGUGAUUUCUAAAGAUUGAAUUUCAACUUAGAGUAAAACUUAAUAGUUAACACUAAACCUAAGCAACUCUGACUUUUCCAUCAGCAACUACUUCCAAUGGCUAAGAGUAAGCUCGUCCGGACCACUCCUAUGGCCCUCUCGGCUGGACCUACUCCCACCCUAUCCGACUCCAAUCCUUAUCCAACUUCCACUCAAUCAUCUCCAUAAGAGUAGACUUAAUAGCUAUUGUUAGCCUCACUUUUGGAAAACUCACAGGAUUGCUAGCUUUUCAUAGAACCUGUUAUCAAAACUUUCAAACUUCUGCUUUCAAUAUGGAUAAGAGACUUGCUGCCCAGCCCUAGGAAGCUGCUAUAAAAAAGCUUGCAAAAACACUCUUGCUUGGGAAGGUAUGGUAAAGGUAAACUGUAUCUAUUUUUUUAUAUAAAAAAAGGAGUGCUAAAGGAGUCAUUCAGAAGUGAGUGAAGGGGCGCAGAAAAAAGCUCAUUUCUUUCAUUCAGGAAUGGACACUGGACCAGAAUGAAAUGUGGGAAUAUCGGGAUUGGCAGAUUUGUUAUAUUGAAAUAAGCCUCAACUCAACACGACUAGUGAAUUCAAAUUAUAGUCACUUGCGGAUUUCUUCAAAUUGUUGUAGUGCGGAUGAAAAGAAGUCCCUGUGAGCGGAGCUACAAAAGGAAGUUCAAGCUCAAGAAAUCCUCUCAAUAGGGAUUGGGCAAGCAAGCUGUUUGUUUAUUUGAUCUUACCCGGUUGUGAGACGGGACGUGAAGUCAACCAAGUACAUGUGUGUUCAUAGUGUCCCCGGCACCUUCCUCCUAGCUGAGUAUGGAUGCUGAAGUUCGCUGGAGUGUGGGGCGAGUGCGUGGUAGAUGGAACUCCUAUUUACCGCUUUACCGCAUUUCUUCUUGCACUUCCAACUUGAAGAGGAAGAAGCAUCUUCAAUAGAUAGGAAAAAGGAUCUUGACCUGAAGCCUUCGAGCAAAGAAAGGAAGAGUUGGUGAAGUCAGAGUUCCUUCCCUAGAUUCAUGGAAGGACUUUUUUUUUAAAAAGGUUUCAAAUUGAUCGAGAAAUGAAUGAUGAGUUGUUUAAGUUCCUGCUGAAUCCACUAUUAUCGAUGUAGGUAGAAAGGGCAUAAAGCCACGGCGCUAACACGCAUCCAUUUUCUUGCUAGAUGCUGACCAAUUGGUCAUGAACAUCGUAAGGCGUUGCUCUUCGCGAAUCCCUGCCGUAGUAUCAGCUACCCCUACUCGCUUAAAGCCCUUUACCGAAGAAGUUCUACUUUCCCUUUGACAUCUUGUAAGUCACAGCCUCCUUACCCAGCGAGUGAAUGAACGAGCCAAUAAACUGGUGAUCGGUCCAUUUACUAUUUAUUAUAGUCUAUGACGGAAGAUCGUCUCUUUGCACAUGAGAUGCGUACUUUGUGGUUGGCCAGGAUAAGCAAAGCCUACAUCAUCUAGGACUUGCCAUUGAAAAUCAACCUUUCUAUUCGGUCAUCAACAGCUCGGGUCCAUUUAGCUUCGGUGACCAGAUAGAUCCAUCAUCUUCGAGGAGGAGGAAACAUAAGUCCAAUACGCGUUAUGGAAGACUAGGGAUUGCUAAUCCGCCCACGCGGGAAGCCUUCUCCCUCUCAGGCUCAAGAGUCAAGAUAGCCCGCCCUAAACAAGAAGCAGCUUAUUCUUUCUACUAUGGCGGAUAAAGCAAACCAAAACGCGCAACGGCUUUCGCGCUAGUUGCUCAACCCGUUGCUUGUUCGGAAGAAUCCGCAAAUGAAUAUUCUUUAUUUCCUCUCGGGCAGGCCCUCUUUUUUCAUUCGAAUGUACAUCUUUUUCGGUAAAUGAUCAUCUACAACUGAAAGACUGACGUCUUCCUCUACUCGAUCCUUAGUGAAAAAUUAUCCCUCCACCUCAAUUUUUAUGAUCCUCAUAGCCUUUUUUAUUCGCGUCCUCCCCCUGGAUCUAUUCCUGCCGCGUCCACGUCCUCUGCCUCCAGCAACUAGAGUUGCAUCAUCUUGUUCAUUAUUGAGAAUAGGCCUCUUCUCACACCGUACCAGUUCUUUUUGCAGUUGAAUCUUCCCGUUCUGGCUUAUUGAGUGUAUAGAUUCUUUUUGAAAUGCAAUCUAUUCCCACGUCACUCUUCUCAUAACAUAUCCUGUUCUCCUAGUACACAGACACUAUUACCAAUCUUAUAGAAUAGAUUCCUGUGCCAUGCUUGCUUGCCUCACAUUCCUAAUGUAUUGUUGACAACGCUUGCAAUAGGGCGUAGUAGUGUUGCGCUGGGUCGUCUUGUUCGGAAGCUGAUUGAGAAGAUAUGCUGGCGAAAAUAGGAUGCGUAAACCUUGGACUCAUCAUAGCUAUGCUAUGGCUAUGUACUAGUUGACGAGCUUGCCUCCAGUACUUGAUAGAUGCCCAUGACUCUCUAUCUUCAAGUGAUCUUUGCCCAUAGGCGUAGUAGUUGUAGCGAAGCGGCAUAUAUCGUAGUUGUUCGGAUAGCAAGCUACCUGACGUGAUAAGGCUACUAGUGCCCUCUUCCUCUGCGUGUAGAAAAGGAAGAAAUAAAUCAAUCAAAUUACGAGAAGCUUCAUAAAGCGCUUCUUUAGGAGUUAAACUUCCAUUCGUCCAUAUUUCUAGAAAAAGUAUCUCGUGUUUUUCAUUUCCAUUCCCACAAGAAAAAAUACUAUAAUUCACAUUUCGAACAGGCAUGGAUACAGCAUCUAUAGGAUAACUUCCAUCUUGAGAGUUCUUUCUGAGUUCCGUAUGAUAUCCGCGAUCUCUCUUGAUCUGUAACUCAAUACAGAAAUCAAUGGGCUCUCUCAAGUUAGCUAUAGGUUGUGUCGUAUCAACGAUUUCUACGGAAGGCGGUAAGAUUAUAUCUUGAGCGGUUAUGUAUCUAGGACCUUUGACGCAAAUUGAUGCGUCUUUAACUCCAUAGAGAUUACUUCUCAAUACAAUUUCUUUCAAAUUUAGUAAAAUUUCUUGUAUGGAUUCUUCAAUACCUACUAUUGUAGAAUAUUCGUGUGGCACGUUCCCAAAUUUGGCGCGUGUGAUACAUGUUCCUUCUAUUUCUCCAAGUAAAGCUCUUCGCAAGGCAAUACCGACAGUAUCCGCUUGACCUUUUCUAAGCGGGAACAGAAUGAAACGACCAUAAUAAAGACGCUUACUAUCUACUCUUGAUUCAACACACUUCCACUCUAGUGUUUGGGUGGAUCCUGUUACCUCCUCUCGAACCAUAACAGACUAGUAUUAUUAUUUGAUCAUUGAAUCGUUUAUUUCUCUUGAAAGCGGUUUCACUUUUUUACAGACGUCUUUUUUUAGGGGGUCGACAUCCAUUAUGCGGCAUAGGUGUUACAUCGCGUAUACAACUUAACCGUACACCACUUUUAGCAAUGGCUCGUAAUGCGGCAUCUCUUCCGCUACCAGCACCUUUUACCAUAACUUCUGCUCGUUGCAAACCCACUGUACGAAUAGCAUCUACUGCUGUUCUUUGACCAGCAUAGGGUGAUGCUUUUCUUGAGCUUUUGAAUCCACAAGUACCUGCGGAGGACCAGAAAACCACCCGACCUUGUGGGUCUGUAACGGUUAUAAUGGUAUUGUUGAAACUGGCUUGAACAUGAAUAACCCCUUUUGUUAUUCUACGUGCACUCUUCCGUAAACUAAAACGGGCAUUCCUACGCAAACCAAUACGCACUUUCUUACGUGAACCUAUUUUUGGUAUAGCUUUGCUAAUCUUUGAUGGCCAUCUUGUAAAGGAAAAUCAAGUCUCAUGUUGCUCCUCUGAAAAUGCGUAUAGAAAUGGUGUGGUGGAGAAUGCGCGUUAGCGCAACGGCUUUCGCGCUAGUUGCUCAAAAAAUCGUAUAAAAAUCAAGCAAGAAAAUGGUUCUUGCAGGGCAGUGGGCGUGGGACUGUAAAUCCUCUUUCGUUCGCUGGGCCUGGGCCCUUUGGACUGUAAAUCCAAACGGAGUAAGUGGUUCGAUUCCACUCAUGAACGAGAGCGAGACUGAACGAAAGAAAAUGCAAGUGAAACGAGACGAGAAUCAAAGAUUGGGAACAUGCAUUUGAACCUUCCGAAACCGGUAUUGGACAGUGUUCAGUGACCCAAUAUCAAUAUAAUAUAUAGUACUAUAGUAAGUACUAAAGUGUUGUCCCUUUCGUCUAGCGGUUCAAGAUCUCGUCUUUUCAUGUCGAAGACACGGGUUCGAUUCCCGUAAGGGAUAGGUACUGAUUCCUGCCGGUCUGAUUGCUGAGUGGUUAGAAGAUCAGCUGCUAACCUAUUUUCAUUUCUAACUUACCACCUGUAUUUCCGGAAACGAAAACCGGAAAUGACAAUCCUUUCAACUGUCUGUACAAAAUUACUUUGUACGAAUGCACAUCUCGGCCGUCGGGUAGCUGCUCACCAUUUAAAAGUCUAUACCCGUGGUUCCAGAAAUGGAAUUGCUAUUCUCGAUUCAGACAAGACACUGAUUUGUUUACGAAGCGCUCUUCAUUUUAUAGGAUCUCUCAUUCGUAAAAAAGGCCAUUCCUUCUUUUUAAAGACUAAUCAUUUAUUUAUAUAUUUGAUAAUGGAAAAAAUGAUAUAUUCGAUAAUGGAAAAAAUGGGGAGCUGUAUCAAUGAUUCUCAAUGGAAGAUCGGGGCUUUUUUGACCAAUUCUUAUGCUAAUCCUAAGAAAUUCCGUUCAAGAAAGAAGAAAAUCCAUUUUGGGUUGAACCAACAACCUGAUUGUGUGGUUAUUCCGAAUCCAGAUAGAAAGUCAUCGGUCAUACUGGAAGCUAAUCGAUCACAAAUACCGAUUGCAUCCUUACUUGAUUCUACGAUCCCAUGGGAAUCCUAUAAAAGAAUCACUUAUCCCAUCCCAGCAAAUGAUACUAUACAGUUCAUAUAUCUAUUUCGUCAUUCGAUCACGAAAACAGUGAUUCUUGAACGGCCAAGAAUAACAGCAAUUCAGGGGGCUGGAGCACGAGCUUUUAGUACGGCAGGGUCUGGGGGUAGGAAGCACUACGCCUCUGCCUCUGGGAAUAAGUAUAAAUACAAGGCUACCUUUAUCCAUUUAUUUUGGAUGAAAAUCCUCCUUCUCCUUCCCCGGGUUCCACUAGGAUUAUUAUGUUUAUUUUGCCGGAUACCCACGAGCAUACUAAGUCUUUUUUUUUUCAUACUAAGUCUUUUUUUUUGUGUGGAAUCCGCAGCUGCUGCGACAGGGGGGGAUAUUGUAAUGGCUCAUCCGCCCGGGAGUUCGGGAUACACCACAAAUACACUGGUGGAUGCACUGAUGGACACGACGAGUGCUAGUGCUUCCUCCGGGGAGCCUUCUGUGAAUCAGCCGACGCCUGAAUUCCAUCCUGUUGAGCAGGAGGCACCGAUGGAUGCACUGAUGGACACGACGAGUGCUCGUGCUUCUUCCGGGGAGCCUUCCGUGAAUCAGCCGACGCCUGAAUUCCUUCCUGUCCAGCAGGAGGUCGAGCAACAGGCAUUGUUGACUGAAAUCCGCGAAGUUCUUCAGCAAGAAUACCGGAGGUACAUCAUCCGCUCUAGUCCCUGGAUGCGGAACACCGGGUAUCUGUAUUCACCGAAUAUAACAAGGGUAGCAGAAUUAAUGAUUAAAGAUUUAGAGUUAGACUUAAGUUCAAUUGAAGAAUUACAGCAAUUUCUCCAAGACAUUGGGGCAAAUCCCCAGCAAUUGAAUUCCGAAUUCUUUAAUUACUGGGGGAGGAGAGCUUAAUGAUUUCGAAGACUGGGGGAGCUAAAUGAUUUAGAAGAAAGAAUGGUUGGGAUGGGGGUCUCAUAGAUAGGUUGGGGACUUAAGUGAUUCAUUUGAAGAGCAGGAUUGGGUGGCCGACCGGCCCGCAGACGUAGGAAGGCUUUUCUCGCCGACUGAACUGUGUCACCAAAGUCGCGAUCAGAAAGGUUUCUAUCCGGACCAUGCAUCUGGAAAGCGCCGGUUCGAUUCCGGCUCGUGACAUGAAGAAGAAGUCCCAAACAGGGAUCAGAUGAGUUUGCACAGCGUUACUUUGUUGACGGAAAAUCAAAUUGUUCUUCCGGUUCAAUGAAGACUAUGCUUACUUUCUUUUCUCUUACCGGUCUGUGUUCUAUCAUGGACCUGUAUUCCGUUCCUCGAAUCGAGACUUUCUUUGUCGAGGAUCUCUGGUUUAGGGUACUCCAUCGAGUUUCAGUUUCUUCUUCUAAUGGCUGUGUCCGUCUAAGGUGGCUAUUUGAGCGAUUUAAGUAUCGCGGUUGUCUUGAGCUCUGGAUUGAUGGGCGGAAACCUGGGGCUGGUACCUUUCUGUUUAUUUUCAGCACUAGACUCCACAUCAGGAUAAGCUUCUUUCUAUUAAAGAAAUGUCGAUUUCCCUCUGUUUGAGUAGGCUCGCGAUAGAUUAUACGCAUGAGGUAGUAAAAGCGAGUUAUAAGCUCUUUUCUCUAAAGAAAGUAGGCUUCUAGCAAGGCCAACUCUAUCCUGCUCAAUCCCAUGCUUAUCAUUUUCACAGAUAUGAAUUCAAUGUCAUAUAUUAAUUGAAAUGGUUUUCUCCUCCGAAUUGACACCCAAAAGGGAUAUAUAUAGCCUUCUAGUACCUCAACCCAGAAAGCCUUACACACACUCUGAUGGGAAUUAACCUAGAGUUAUUUUUAUAGAUAUUACAUUUCUAGAUAUAGGCAAAUAUAGGUGUUAUCAAAUCCUAGAGGCAUAUGACCAGCCGCAUGCUAUUAGUAUAGGGUCAGCAAUACCUUGUGAGCCAUGGAUUAAUAAGAUUCUAGGGGCCCUAAAGGAUGGAUCAAGCAUUAUUGAAGGAAUAGCUCGCUUAACAACCCCCGGGGGAGAGUAUAGAUGAAUGCCUUAAGCAAGGGCGUCUAAGCGUGCAUGUACACAGUUUUUCAUGCCACAACACAUCGGUGAAACCGGAGAGAGCUGAAGAGAAGGGGAACCCCAGAGGCAUUGACCAUUUGGUACAGCCGCUAAUUCGGCAUUUGGUACUGUCACCAUUUCUCGAAAGGGAAAAAACAUACUUAACAAUUCGAUUGGCAGGACCAAGGGAUAGAUCGAUUGCAAUAUCAGUAUCAUACAAAUAGAAAUAGACAUGAGUACAUGAAUAAGGAAACGCAAAAGACACAGAGUAGGGCUAGUCAGAAGCGUCAAUGCAGACGCCAAUGGGUAAUCAGAUCCAUUCCACUCCACUUCUUCAGAUAGCAGUCGAUCCUGGAUCGUCCUCGCUUCCAAACUCCGUAAAUGAAUGAAACUCCUUCCCCGGUCCAUUGCUCGGGUGUGAUACAAAUACUUCUUUGAAGUUGUAGGAUGCGGGUCAUCGAUCUUCCUAUCGGUCCAGAGGCGCCAGCUUGGGAAAGAAAAAGUAAGAUUUGUUUGUCAUAUCACGACACGAUCGGAACUCACAUGUAACUCUACUUCUUGAGUAGGGGGAAAAGGACACCUAUCACGCGGUCAUGCCUUGAACGCAGUAAAGAAAUUAAUAAGCUUCGAAUAAUAGCUACGCGAGUCUCCAAUAGCGUCUUAAGCGUUGGUUUUCUUUGCUGGCAUCGUAAUGGAUUGGUGGUUCGUUGCCUCUAUUUUGAAUAGGGUACGGCAUACUUGCCUGAAUCCUGAAUCGCAUAGUUGUCUUUUAGCUUGAACCGCCUCCUGUGAUCUAAAACUACUGAUACCUUUAGCAGAAAGAAAAAAGAGAAAAUAGCAUUUAGCUUGGGAAAGGCUCUUUUUUUAGGUCUCUUUUCGUACUAGUUCUAUCCAGCUAUGAGCGAAAGUAGUCACUUUCUUCAAUCGCCGAGUUGCCUGAAUCUUCUCUCUCGGUUACUCAGUGGAGUGAUCUCUCUCUUAAAUUCCCAUAAGGAUAAGGAAAAGUAGACGGUUCGAAACCCGUGCUUAAAUCCUACUCAAGGCCCACUACGGGCUGCGAGCAAUUAACAAGUAGAGACAAGGAUGAGGAGAAAUGACGCAUAUACGGCCGGCCUGGGUCACUCAUGAUGUUGGUAGUUCAAGUGAAUUGUCGUAGUGUAAGGAAGAUUGAUUGGUUUUCAGAUUGCUACUUGGCUGGCAUAAGAAAGAAGGCGCCCCGGCAGGAAUUCUGUAAGCUUGACUUGCGCGCAGGCUACCACCAGAUACGAAUGGAAGCUCGCUACUAGUUGCGGGUCUAGGUGCUGUCCAGUGAAACGUUUCCUUAUUGCUCAGUCAACCGGGAAAGUGGGUGGAAAAACCCUUCGGGCAAGAUAAGAGUUGAUUCGAAAUUUCUCACCCUUUUCGGAAGAAAAUAAAGUGAAUUCAAUUAUCAGGGGUGUCCCUUCCUUCAACUGUUCUGAUUUCUCUACGAGUUUUGAUCGAGAAGAAGUCUUCACAGGGCUUCCACUACUGUAUUCUUAAAGCGGUACUUCGGCCGGAAAGAAAGCGGUUCUGGUCCGGUCGACUCCCGUGCAUGCUCCUCUGGGUCAGCACGAAAAGCAGUUGUUGCCUUGUCCGGAUAAGUGGGAAGGUGCAGACUUCCUUUGUACAGCUCUGUUAAAGAGCUUUGAAACCUCAGGGGGAUACGAUUAUUCAUCCCACAACCCAGCCCUAUUAGGAAGCGAUAGAAGUGGAAAGAUAGCUGGUUUCAGAUCGGCAUCCCAUCUCUGAACUUUUGCUUCCCCCUUACUUGGAAUGAUAAGUAGGUCCAUCCGUAAAUCCAGGGGCAUCGAAUUCUUUAUCCGUUGGCGCUAGUUUUGAACCAAAAGAACCGAACCGAAAGGCACUGAAAGUUGUUUCGUCAGAUCCACCUUCCGAACUUGAAACCGCUAAAUCGGAUUUUGAAAAAGGCACUGGCGUCCCCGAAGGGUCUAGUUGAUAAGAAGUAAUAAAAAUGGUUCGCUUGUGGAUAUCGGACCCAUGGAGCUCAUAAGAAAAGAGUAUGCUUUGAAAAAGCUCUUUUUGGGCUAGAUAAAAUAGAAACAGCAUACUUUGAAUGAGAAGUUGGCUAUUCUCGAGGCAGCCCCGCACUUAAAGUAGUUUGUGUUUGUUCUACGGAAUUCAAUAAAGCAUGAGUUCGGAGUUCCUAAGUUCGUAGAACCUAGUGGAAUGAAUCAAGCGAGAGUACCUAGACCUGUUGAUCAUAAAAGAAAAUCGCUAUUAUCGUAUAGAAAGUGAAGUUCAGUUCCAUGUCGGUAUCUUCGUCGGUAUCUUCCAGAAUUAAAGAAAGUAGGACUAUCUCCAGAUAAAGUUGUUAGAGCGAGGCAAGGAUGGAUUCGAGAAUGGUGAAGUUAUGGCAUUCUCUUUUACCUCAAGCGAUAGUUGUUUAUCCGCAUUGGAAAAACCAUGGAGAUACAAGCGGUCAAAGCAGAAAGGGUUUGAGCUUCGACCGUGUUAACUCUUCUUUUAGAGGAAGUCAGUCAAGUUAGAAUAGAAUAGAAUAGAAUAGAACUAGCCGACGCUUUCGGGAAGGAUAGGCCUCAAUUAGCAUUCUAUCGAGUCAUUUUUAGCAAUCUCGCAUUCAGCUGGUCUUGUUCUUGCACCUGGAAAAAGGUUAUGCAGGUCAAGCUCUGAGGAUGAAUACCGCUCUAUGGCAUUAGCACUUGCCGUUACAGUGUGGAUAGGCCUCAUCUUACGUGAUGUUGGUUUUCCCUUAUAAAAGCACAAGCUUCUAGAAGAUUAGGUAGAUGAGUACCGAGCGGAAGAAGAAACCUAUCACGGCGAAUUCCGUGGUUCAAGAUGUGGUUUCCUGUGCGUACCUUGAGCUGCUGGAGGAAGAGGACGGAUGGGAUGCCUGUAGAGAAGUGCGGUCAGAAACCAAACCCAUUGACUUCUUAUUGUUUUGUUCUUUCGGGUGAAGUCAGAUUCGUAAAACAAGGCAGCAGAUAAGCUAUGGCGAUACAUAACUCUCCUCAGUUUAGAAGACGGUAUCUUUCUCCCCUUAAACUUCAAGGAAGAGAAGGGCGAAGCAUAUACCAGUGUUUUGCCAACGGCACGAAGCGAAUCUUGCAAGCCAGCCUAGCCCUACGCCUAGAUUGAUAUUCACAAGAACUACUACGUACGGUAUUCACAAGAACAAUAAGUUGAGAGGAGGAGCAAUAAAACUGGACGAAAGCAGUGGGAAGAAAGCGAUGCCCGGGCGAUGGUAGUACGAAAAGCUCGACUCCUUUGGAUUCCGGAUUAGAAGUAGCUCCGGCUGCGGCUAGAAGGCAGUUAUCAUAAUUUGAGGAUGAUGGAUUUUUUAUUCACAAGCUAGAUCGUAUUAUAAAGGAACGAGGCCCAUCUAUAAUCUAUAGUAGGUGGGCCCCAGCUCUUCACGAGGGUCAGUGCGGCUUUAAAGCUCCUAAGUCGUCCACUAUACUAUACAAUAAAAGAAUCGAAGCCAGAGGAAACAAGUGAAGGUGGAUCAGCGAUUCCUGUUCAGGUGGUUCCAAAACUAGAAACUAUUCCUCUACUCGCUAUGCGAAAAAAACCUGAGAAAAUAAGUAUAGUCUAGAUCGUACUCAUGAAACUCAUAUAAGAACAAGGUAUGGAAAUUCAUCUUUACAGAUCGGAGGAAGAGUAGGUUAUUCAGCCCGAGACUCGAGAUGAUCGAUCUUGAAAUGAUAAGAGAAGGACCCACCCCUAUAAAUAAACUAUUCCAAUGACUUUGUUCGCUUCCCCUGAGGCAACGGCUGUACUCGGCACACAGACCUGGCUUAUGAGCAGGAUUUAUCAGCCAAGUGCGUAUGGUUGCUACCUGUAUUCUGAUAGGCCACUUAAUGACACUGGCUCCCAGUUAUUGACUUAUGAAGAAUGGCUUCUCGAUGGAAGAGAAACAAUAAUAGGAAAAUAGGAAGCUGCAAUCUGAACCGGCUAACUAGACAAAAGGAGAGAGAUUGGCUCAGUUCAGUAGGAAGCUUUCCUUUUCUCGCCUUAACUACUACUUCAAAGCGCCAGGCCUUAUCUAACUAAAUAAGGCUUGCCCAACUUUUUCACAUUGGGGGCUGGUAAAUACGGCUAUGAAGCCUCAUUGAAAGGAAGUAGGAAAUCAAGCAGAGGGCAUGAAAGCAACUCGACCGAAGGGGGAGGAAGUGUUGUAGCGAGCCAGAGAGCGCUAAAGGGUGCUAAGCAUAUCCAAUUGCUGUCCAGGGACCUCACCUCUACUCUUCAUCCCCUCCUGCCAGUGAAACAAGAAAUAGAGACGCAGAAGAUCGAUGAUCUAUCGAUCGAAAAGGAAUAUGCCUCGGUUAGCAAGGAUAAACCCUGAUUAGGAAUAUGCCUCACUCUGACUAGGGUUUUCCAAAGCCGUCAGUAGGAAUGAUAUGGACAAGGAGAUUCAGAUAAGUUGGGUGUCGGGUGCAGGCUAGUUGUAUGCUGGACCAGAUUUGGUAGUCGUAGCUUCCAGAAAAGUGUUACAUUUUAUUGAUGGAGGUAGGCCUUCCCCACUCGUGAUUGAUUUGCUCAUUCAUCCGGGAAGGAGGUACUCAAGGGUUAGGUAAGUUCUUGGCUUCUCCGGCUCACACUUGCCUGUGCUAGCAGCCGCUACCAUUUUGCAAUCAAUUCAAAGGCGAACUCUUUCUCGGUAUUGGAUAGAGGAGGGGCAGUAGUAAUCAUUGGAAUCACGGGAACGCACGACUCUCGGUGGAUUAGUUCCUCGAGGGAAAGCCGGGUAGUAGCUACCAUCCGUCAAUUCAAUCAAAGCAAGGACACAGGGCACAAAGCAUUUCCCGACCACGGAUAGGUACCAUGUGUUACCAUUCAUUUGUCACUUAUUUGAUUCUAUCUCAGAGGAAGAGUGUUCGUUCGGGCUAACGAAAGAUCUCAGAGGGACUCUUACUUCUACAAGAGCUUUUACACAAGUUAUCGACAUAUAGGAAUUCGACUACCUCAUCACUGUGUGAAGGAAAAGGUUCAGGAAGCUUGCCUCAACCUUAGCGUAUCUCGGCUAUGUCCCAAUCGUUAAAACUCUCGAUUUGAAUGAACUUUUACAAGCAACAAGAGUGCAAUUGGCAACUGCCUCAUAUCGUUCAUCUAAUGAUGUGGUAUACAACUAGAAAAUCAAAUCUUUACAUUGAUCAUAUCCAUGGCAUGGGUCGUAUCAGAACGAAGAAGGAAAAGAUUCAUUAGCAAAAGCACCCGAAGCAGAUGGAUCAACAUAACCACAAUUGACCCUGUUUUCCACCUACUAGCAGCAGGAGUAUUCAUUUAGUUCUGGAACACUUCCCAAAUCGAUAUACGAAGAAGGGCAAUCUCAGUAUUUAAGUAAGAGAUUUCUUAUAUGUAUGCUAAUCCAUGCAUCUGGAAUGAUACUUGCAUAGGAAAGAAAGGAGUGUGUUUAGCGAGUAAUAGGAGAAAGGAGUGUGUAUGGCUAGGUAAUAGAGAACAAUAAAGGAAUCAACACCUGCGUAUCGUUCCAUGGACAAGACUGGUAGUACUGUAUUCUUGACGAGCACUGCUCAUAUAUGUCGUAAGGGCCCAUGCAUUAUACCUAUGUACUUUCCCAUGCUUUAAUAUAAAUUUACUGCCCCAUUCUUUCUACGAUAGCUGGAACUAAUUCCUUAUCAACCAGUAGCUACCCGUUCACUUAGCCUACAAACUACUAGUCCAUAAGUAGGUAGCCCAUAUGGAAGAAAGGAGAGCUAGGCGAAAGCCACAAAGAAGUAAGUGAGCUAGGCAUUCCUGGUUGUCCACGUUGAAAGAAAGAAAUAGAUAGCUGGAAAAGACUAGCACUAUCCAACUAGUUGUUUCGUUCCUGCUGUCCAAACAGAGCUAACUAUUCGUUCCCGUAGCAAAAGGGGGAAUGUAGAAAGAAGUAGAUUGCUUUUCUUGCCAGGAACUACUAACUGACCUCUCAAAGCUUAACGAUAAGCACAGUACAGCCACAUGAUCAAACUUGAUCCUUGUUUAUUCCGAAAUUCUAUUUUUUUAAGCAAUUUGCCCUUCCCAAAACAACUAAUUUUUGAAGGCUAUGAAGGAUUGACAAGCCCUUACUUCAAUAUAUAUAUGCAACUUUCCCAGCUUAUAUACUUGGGGCUUCCGCUGCGCGCCUUUAUUUGACUUUUCCACGAAGACAACAAAUCCUACUAGAAAGGGACAAGUAAGUUGCCUCAGUCCUUUCGAUUAUUAGUAGGGGCUCGCAACACCGACAAGGAAUGAAGUCAACAGAGCAAGCGUUAGGGAUAGGAGCAGUGUCGCAAUACGAUAAUAGAAUGCGCUUUCUCAAAUAAAUAUCAUCUUCUUUGGUUUGGAUAUGCGAUUAGGAUUGUUCUUUCGGAAAGAAAAGAUACCUUUGCCCUGGAGGAUUGGACCUUUUUACAUUUACCUUCCCCAAAAAGGAGUACGAAUCGCUACGCUCUAGCUCGUAAAAGGGAUAGCUCUCCUAAAGGGGAUAGCGAUAGGUCUAGGAAUAGCAUUUCUCUAGCGUAGGAAGCAUAUUCCAUUCCCUGAUCUUUUGAUUGAUUUGAACGAUAAGGAACCGCACCUCCAAUAGGAGAGGAGCAGCUAAAUCUCUUCACGGAAGACCCGAACUGCCCUAGUGCUUAACCCGAAGCUAGGCGCCCGUCGCACAUUGCAUUGAUUUGGCCUAUAUAUGAAACUAACUUUUUUGCAAUUGGUGACCUUAGGGAAAAUGCAAUUUACUACUUUCCCAUAUAUAUAAAUAAAAUGAUCAAUCCUGUCCUCGGCUAUUCGAACUAGCUGGAUUUUCAAUAGGAAGCCGUUGUUGUUCCCAAAAGGGCUAGCGCUCGUACUCGUAUUGGUUUUAGGGAAGCCGGGCUUUGGAGAUUAGGAUUUCUUUUAAUUAGAUUUGUUUAUCGCUAGUGCUAGGAGUAGGAAUCGCUACGGAUAUCAUGCCGCUGUAGUUCCCUUGCCCAAUAAGGAGUAGGGAUUAGCCGUGUACCGAACCCGAAGCAAAGGAAAAAACCUCUUUCUCUUCGGCCCCAGAUGCAGACGAAUCCGAAUCAAACUAUAGAAUGUUCUUUGCCGAUGCUUUGAAUCCCGGGAACCGACAGGAAGCUUUGGAUGAAAGGAUAGGAAUAGCUCUUGCGCAAGGAAUAUCAAUAGCGUACGCGUACUAGUCCUGGGAAUAGAAAAUAUCUUACCCGUGAAGGGGAGGCAAAAGGGAAAGCUAGUAUUUUUAAAAAGGGUAUAGUAGCUGGUAUUCGGAUUUCGCAGUGCCGUAAAAGGAAACCGUUGUUGUUUUGUUUGCCCCAUAUGGGCAUAGGGGUAGCCGAGGAAAACCUUACCGUUGUACGAAAGGAUAUCUCGUAACGGAAGGAUUGAAACCAGAUAAAGUUACUGAAAUAACUACCUUUGCUAAUGUGCUUUGUCGAACAACCUUGACUAGCUUUCCAGCAUGCGCUACUACAGCCUACCUAGCCUCUUCCUCCUCUAUUCCAUUUCUAGUGCAAUAUCAGAAGGUAUCAAAUCCAGCGUAUCGAAAGCCCGGUCCGUAAUCCCUUCGCCCCGUCUUUGCUUCCCCUCGUGCGCUUCCAUAUAAAUUCCCAUUUCAUCUACCAGUUGAACUGAUUCGAUCACUGUCCCAUAAGCAGUAGGGACCACGAGUGAGCUUAUUUCGUGAUCGGCUAGUAGAUCCUCAUUUCUUCUUCUUUGCAAAGGUCUACUGGGUAGAAUAGAUCCAAUUGAUGGCGACACAUAAGAACCCCUUAAUUCACCUACCCCUUCUCACUUCUGGUUCAUCAAGAUAGGGGACAGAGGAAAUCCUCUAGGAAUACCAACGCAAUGAACAAUCAUUGCCCCUUUUUUGCAAAUAUGGGCGUUUUCCGGAGAUAGGAGAUAAGAGGGAUAAGGUCAUCCCCCUUUAUCCCAGUAGCGUUCUACAGCGCUUUAACAAGAGACAGUGGUUCACGCGGUCUGCCCGCACUUGACCACAUCACACUGGACUAAGUAAUCCAUCUCUUUCCAAGUCUGUUGUGAGGAUCGAGAACACUUACGCUGUCUUUCCUCUCAAUUAGACCAAUCAGAAAGAUUCCCUAUCUUAUGUCAUUGGCUGGAGAAGAUUGAUAGAUAGGCUAUCAGUGCACUCUUCUGGGUGGGACCAGAACUACUCGUUCUCGCACCCCAGCGCUAUGCUCCAGGCGCAUCUUGGCACUCAAUUGGAAUGAGUCCGAAGAACACUUGCCCCCCUCACCGGCUUUGUCAGAUCUGUCUUUCGGCUGGACAGCUUCCGCUGCUACUUGGAUAUUGACUCCGACGCUUGUUCCUAGAUAUAAAAAGAAGUAGGGCACCUAAUAUGAGAUACGAGUCAAGGAUUGAGACCACUAGUGAGAAGGCAAAGAAAUCGUUUUUAUGUAUCGGAAGGGAAAGAAGAACCAUCCAUUGGCAAGCACCCACUCAACUAGAUGCUAAACAAGGAAUUGCAUUUUCUUGUUUAGCGUACCUAGCACUCCACAACCCAUUAGUUGGAAGGCAAUCACCAACUUAGCACACUAGAGCAUACAACGACCUUUAGCAACCUUUUCUCGAGCGAGACUCUAGUAGGUCAAGCCUGCCGUAGUUGGGCAAGCCAACAGGGCGGGAAUAUUAUAUGUAAUACACUACAGUAGGGCAAGCCAAAGUAGUCAAACAGUAGGCUGUAUAGCAGGCUGUGGGCAGGCGCUAAGCGGUAUAGCAGUAAGGUCAAGCGGCAGCCUUGAAGUUCAACACGAAUUUCCAUCCAGUCGAAGAAUUACCUUUCCUUUACUUAUCCAGUCGACGAAUUACUUACUAUAAGAUCGUUAGAGAUGCUUAUCCAUGUCUAUCCAUAGCGAUCAUGUUUGCCGAAGAUAUGAGGUAUCUUUCUUCUCCAGCUACUAUCUAGUUUCUUCUCCUGCUACUCUAAAAUAAAUCACUUAUCUACAGAAAUUACUUAUUAUAAGCUACAUGAAUAAAUAACUUAUUCGAAUAUUUCCCGAGUGUUUAAUCAAUCCCCAGGCUACUUUUCCCAUAAGGAUCAGAUGAGACCUGUAUGUCUUGCUUUGUACUUAGUGCUCGCAGUGGCUCUGGAAUUUCAGCUAGACCUUGAGCUUUCCUUCUUUGAGCAUGCUUUCCUUCUUCGCUUUUCACAUAAAAGACGGGGUCUUACCAGCCGUUGGACACGUACUCCUGCUACCAAAGCUAGAUAGGAAAGUGAAGAUAUGAUCCAACUACUCGAUAAAAUGGAUUUUCUAGAAUUAUGCUAUGCUUAUUCCCACUCUGACUAUUCCACCUCCUGUUCUCAAUGUCAUAGUAAGAAUUUUACCUGACAUCAGAUAAGCAUCACGCUUGCUUCGUUAGACCGUACGGAACCCAAGCAAGAGAGAAAUCUCCCCGUUGUUCGAUCGUACUAAAGUACUGCUGCUGCCGAAGACUCUCUCUUGUCAGAGAAGAGGGUGUGUAACUAAAUCAAUGACUCACCUUAUAUAUCAUAAUGGGCUACCUCGUCUCAAUAGGUUAAAAUCAAGGUCUCGCCCCUUCCCUCUAUCCUAAGAUUAUCGUAGUGGUUGAUGAGAUGAGAAACGAAGUGAGGUCAAGGAAACGUGAUUCCAGGUACGCCCGUUCCUCUACAUCGUUUGACUAUCAAAGUCAGGUCAAAUGUAGGUGAGUGUUGCUUCUCAGAAAACGCGUAGAAUAGUCUCAUUGGCCCUCGUCAAUGGGACAAACGCGGAAGUGUAUGCGUUACUGUACUGGGAAGCUAGCAUUUUGUCUUGUCAUGGAAGUUCGUGUUCGUGUUCGUGUUCGAAUGUUCUUGUUUUUCGUUGGAAAAACCAACGCCGACGUCAAGAUCAGUCUCCUUUCUCUUUUGUUUUGUGAGCAGAGCUGAAAAGAUGUUGUUACCCACCCGAUGUUGAAACGGAUUGCAAUUGAAGUUCUUCAUUUGAUUACUUGUGGGAUUUGUAAAAAGAAUCCUGCCUCCCCCCAGGAUUCGGAAAUGGAAGAUGAUGGCUAUUCCAUUUCUAAAAGGCGUCUCAAUAAAGAGGGGUUCCAGAAAUUUCUGGAAAAAGAAGAUAAGAAAAAGAGACGCUAGUUCUUCUUUUCUUACAUACUAUCUUUCCGCAUGAAAAAGACCAAUCAAAAACUUCUUCGUUUCGUUGGUAGAACCCACGCCAACUCUUUUCUCUAAAAAAUAGAGAGAUCUUUUGAUAGUCUCACUUCUAUCAAUGCAAUGAAAGAACUAUCCCUUCCUAUUUGUUUGUCCUAAUGAGACAAAGAAGAGCCUCCUUCUUUACCACUUUAGGGGAUGGGGGUGAAGGGGGGUUUACAUACAACCGGGGCAAAGUGGUUUAUGAUUGAAUCUCAGAGGCAUUCUUAUCAUUUGGUAGAUCCAAGUCCAUGGCCUAUUUCGGGUUCACUCGGAGCUUUGGCAACCACUGUAGGAGGUGUGAUGUACAUGCACUCAUUUCAAGGGGGUGCAACACUUCUCAGUUUGGGCCUAAUAUUUCUCCUUUAUACCAUGUUCGUAUGGUGGCGGGAUGUUCUACGUGAAUCCACGUUGGAAGGGCAUCAUACAAAAGCUGUACAAUUAGGACCUCGAUAUGGUUCUAUUCUCUUCAUAGUCUCGGAGGUUAUGUUCCUUUUUGCUUUUUUUUGGGCUUCUUCUCAUUCUUCUUUGGCACCUACGGUAGAGAUCGGAGGUAUUUGGCCCCCAAAAGGGAUUGGGGUCUUAGAUCCUUGGGAAAUCCCUCUUCUUAAUACCCCUAUUCUCCCUUCAUCCGGAGCUGCCGUAACUUGGGCUCAUCAUGCUAUACUCGCGGGGAAGGAAAAACGAGCAGUUUACGCUUUAGUAGCAACCGUUUCACUGGCUCUAGUAUCCACUGGCUUUCAAGGAAUGGAAUAUUACCAAGCACCCUCCACUAUUUCGGAUAGUAUUUAUGGUUCUACCUUUUUCUUAGCAACUGGCUUUCAUGGUUUUCAUGUGAUUAUAGGUACUCUUUUCUUGAUCGUAUGUGGUAUUCGCCAAUAUCUUGGUCAUCUGACCAAGAAGCAUCACGUUGGCUUUGAAGCAGCUGCAUGGUACUGGCAUUUUGUAGACGUGGUUCGGUUAUUCCCAUUUGUCUCUAUCUAUUGGUGGGGAGGUAUAUGAAAGAAGGGAACGAAUAAGUGGAUUGAGGAAUGAAAGCUCGAAGACAAAGAGAACUUCUCAGGGUAACUGGAUCACCCCGGCAGCGUGGUUUCUCUGACGAGCAGGAAGCCACAAAAAGCAUUGUGCUCUUGUAACUGAUCUUUUAGUAGGCGAAGUUGCCGAAUUCUGAAAUCACUACAGGCACUGUGCAGGAAAUUGUCGGUCCUAAAAACAAUGUGUCCCCAUGAUCAUUUUACAUCACGAUAUCUUUUUCUUCUGGUUAUGCGUUUUCCUCUUAACUUUUUUUUUAUUUAUUUGAUGGAAUCGUCCGGGCAGAAACUGUCAAAUGCGAUUCUUUUUAAGAUGAUUUUCCGGUUGAUCCGAUCUAUUUUCCCGGCUUCUCACCUUACCUUACUACUCUACUGGAUUGGAUUCCAUUUGAUGGGUAGGGCUGGCAAAUAUUCCAUGUAAAGGUGGGAGGGGCGCCGGGAUCCUGUAGUAGGAAUCCCCCCGUCAUGAUCGACUAAAAGGAGAAGUCUCAAUGAGAUAUUGGUUCAAAUCCAAUUCAUGACGAGUUCAGAAGGACUCUCUAAGAGAAAAAAGAAAAAACUGUUAGACCGAAACUCUUUUAGGAAAGAAAAAUCAAUCCAUAUACCAUAUACAAAUGGAUGAUACAUAUAUCAUAAAGAAGGAAUAUGGAGCGGGUAGUAGGAAUCGAACCCGUAACCCCAAGGUUAUGAGCCUUGCGAGCUGACCUAACUGCUCUAGUCCGCAUGCCUACCUUUCAGGGAAGGAGGAAGUACUAGAAGAGCCAGAAGCUAGGGGUGUUUGAGCUGUCUUCUUCCUUGGGGAGAACUAUCAUCCUAUCCGAAUCUCUUUCUCUCUUUUUGGGAGCUAGUUUAAUGGCUGCUCGACCAAGCCAGCCGUAGCCAACCUUCCGCCGAGAUCGAGAUUUCAGGCGUGAUGGUAGGCGUGACCAGCGGUAUGAAAACCGCGAAUCCCGAGCUUCCUCUUCUCGUUUUGAUGAUGCACAAAUCAUUAUGACGAUUUUUAUCGGUUUGGAGACCAUAUAUCCAAGCCUGAAGCGAUCAAAUGCAGUUAAACCGGUCCCUGGGGAUGCUGUUCCAGGAAGAGCUACAGUUGAAGGAGAUGCUGCUGAAAGUUCACCUGUUUCAGUUUCAGUUGGAGUACUAGCCCCAAGGGAAGGAGCAGAGGUAUCAGAUAUGUAAAUCUACCUGUUGCUCCAACAUGUGAGGAGAUAAACCCGAAAAAAGAAAACCACGAGUGAUCCGACAUUAGUUCGAAACCAGCAAGCGUGUAGCGAGUGAGUAGAAUCCUUGGGCUCCGAAACAAGCGAGUUCAAACCCUACCCUAUUGUCUUCUUGACCAAUCAAGUCAAGCUUGAAAACUGCUUCUUCUCAACCAGGAUACGAGCCAAUGAACCUUCUAUUACAACCGGAAAGUGAGAGAAAACCAAAUUCUCAUACUAGAAGCGAUUCAAUUGUGAAUUCACAACAAGUAGUCUGCGAUCAAUAGUUCAUCGAGACAAUGCCUAGUCAACAGUUUCGAGACCAAAGUGCACUAAAGCUGUGGAAUGUGUUGCAGAUGUUCAGUAGAGUAAUCUUUUUUAUAGAGGAAUCCCUAGGUGGAAUUUGUGAUGUAAUUAAUGCUCUCUAACUAACUCAAUUUCCAGUCAUGUGCCAGUGAUUUGCCAGGCCGGGGCCCGUUGGAAAGUAUGCAUUAGAUAGCUAGGGCUACUAGGGCUAAGAGGAAUAGCUUUUGAUCAGUUGCCAAGUUAUAGAGUUAGAGAAAUUUUACCUAAUUGCACACAAAAAGUUGCUCCCAAAAGAAGGAGCCUGUGGAAAUGAAAGGGAAUUGGUGAUGGAGUGUGCAACGUUCGCCAAGCACUGAAUAUAUGAAGUCAGCAGGGCCGGUAGUUCUUUCUUGGCUUGGAUUCCUUCGCUUCCGAAAGAGGUUCAUCACGAAUACCAUCAAUAUCAACCGGAGGAGAUCGUAUGCAAGAAGCUCUUUCCAACGACAAUUUUUCUUCGAAAGGAGUACCAGCGUGAACCUAGGUCGCUCAAGAGGUACUUUGUGUUAUACCUUAGACCUUACCAGAUCCAAUUGCUGUGCAAAGCUACUUAUAAAUAAGGGUUUCCUUUUUCCUUUUGUCGUACCUAAAUGUUUCACUCUCAAUCUUCCUCCAUUACUGAAAUGUCAACAUUAAGCACCAAGAAAAUGAAGAGACACUACAUAGAUAAGGAGGUAUUGAAUAAAGCAAGCCUUUCCUCUUUUGAACCUCGCCAUUAACGUUAAGGCUAUGCCAUCUUAAGGUGCUACUACUAAAUGGAAGGAUCUUAUCAACGUCCAUGAAUGCGAAAUCAUAGAUCGAACUGACGAAUUGGCAAAAUUCGGUGCUAUCAUAGUAUCCGCUAAGUUCACGGGCUGGAGAUAAGCGGACUCGAACCGCUGACAUCCGCCACAGGGUAAACCACCGCCUCUCAGGCCUCCCCGACGGGUUCUACCAUAGAGGACAACGAUAGACAAUAACUCCCCCCCGAACACAGCUUACAACUUUCAUCGUACUCUCCAAUUGUUGAGCAACUCUUCUCAAAAUCUCAAAACAAAAGGUGCUGAGUUGGAAUCCCAUUCUAAGGAUUCUUGUGGUUCCGGGGCGAUCCAGUCACCCGGAGAAGAUUUCUUUUCUUUGCUGAUUCCUCUCAAUGAAAUUUGCCAUGUUGCACUAAGUUACUUACGGAUGUAUGCAUGCAGUCCGGGAACACUUUGGGGUGAACACCCAUCCGAACAAGUAGGGUCAAUAGUUCAGCAUUUAGGCCGUAACAUUUAGCAAAAAACUAAUCUUAAACCCAACAAGUGCUCUCCGAACCAAGCUAGAUAGUCUCCUAUCACUAGGCUCACCAACCAACUUGGACUUUGAUUCUUUCUUAUUAUUCUAACCGGAUAUCAAAACCAUAAGGAUUGUUUCCAGCCAAGAGUUCCCAUAUGACAUAAGCGCUCUUGGGUGGGGUGGGCCCUCAUUCGCCAGGUCUUUGAGUGCCCGUCGUACCACGUGGUUGGUACACUAGGCUGAUCGAUACUUUACUUUGAGGAUCCGGCACCUGCGCCCGACUCGGUCUGCCAGUGAAUUUUGGCUCUACGUCCGGUCGUGCGUGGUAUGUUCGCGAUUCGUACAAAUGGAAGGCAUCGCGUACGUUAACCUUCCUUUAUUGGGCUGGGCCAUUCCAUCUUUGAGAAGGGGCCCAAUCUCGUAUUUGAUGGUCGGCGUGGCAAUAUGCUUAGCUUCGUAGACAGGUUUCCCAGCCGUUGCAAAGACUUCGCGAGAACGGUCAGGGGCGCGAUUCGCCAAGCUAGGGCAAACAAAGCCGUCCGGCCCUACCAGAUUAAGAAUGCGAAGGCCUUUCCUUCGAAAGGAGAAAAAAAAAGAGCUAUGCUAUUGACCGACCCUUUCGUACUUACUUCGAAUCAAUAGGCCUAUCAUUUUUCAUGAGGCGGGCCAAAUAGAGAAUGAAAUGCAAAAAUAGGGGAAGGGGGGAUGGUCGCGCCUUUGAUUUUGUUUAAGGGCUGCUCGCCUUACUAAAGUACCAAAGGCUUUCACGGCUGACACCCCUACCUUAGAAUCUAAGCCCUUUGAAGCGCCAGUAGUUGUAGCAGUGGGUAAGGCUUUCGUUCAACUCGCUCCGGGUUCCGAUCUAUAUGACCUCCAGACAGUACAAAGUACACCUCUUCCGUAGAGGCAAGCUGGUAGUAACCUAACCUUUUAGAGUCGGGGGAGCCGAGCCCUUAACUCUAUCAAUAGAUAAAUCUUCGUGCGUGGCGUGAGUUGGAAUCCUAGAAAAGAUCGAUUGAGACUCCCUCCCCGGUUCCACGAAGAUCUCUACGUACUUGUCUAGUCCAGGACAACUGAGAUCUUCCGGUCUGCGUGCGUGGGAGCAG
rnacentral:lncRNA from 1 species